AACGAACGCUGCGGCGCGUUUAAGCAUGCAAGUCGACGGUAAGGAGAGCUUGCUCUCCCCUAGAGUGCGGAUGGUGAGUAACGCGUGGGUGACCUGCCCUGAAGAUGGGGAUAGCUAGUAGAAAUAUUAGAUAAUACCGAAUGUGCUCAUUUACAUAAAGGUAAAUGAGGAAAGAGCUACGGCUCCGCUUCAGGACGGGCCCGCGUCCCAUUAGCUGGUUGGUGAGGUAAAGGCUCACCAAGGCAACGAUGGGUAUCCGGCCUGAGAGGGUGAACGGACACAUUGGGACUGAGAUACGGCCCAAACUCCUACGGGAGGCAGCAGCUAAGAAUCUUCCGCAAUGGACGAAAGUCUGACGGAGCGACGCCGUGUGAAUGAAGAAGGCCGAAAGGUUGUAAAAUUCUUUUGCAGAUGAAGAAUAAUCAUAGGAGGGAAUGCCUGUGAGAUGACGGUAAUCAUGCGAAUAAGCCCGGCUAAU
rnacentral:rRNA from 1 species